rnacentral:rRNA from 1 species
AGAGUUUGAUCAUGGCUCAGGAUGAACGCUAGCUACAGGCUUAACACAUGCAAGUCGAGGGGCAGCAUGUUGGUUGCUUUGCAACCAACGAUGGCGACCGGCGCACAGGUGAGUAACGCGUAUCCAACCUACCCUUGUCCAUCGGAUAACCCGUCGAAAGGCGGCCUAACACGAUAUGCGGUUCACGGCAGGCAUCUAAGGUGAACGAAAUGUGAAGGAGAAGGAUGGGGAUGCGUCUGAUUAGCUUGUGGCGGGGUAACGCCACAAGGCUACGAUCAGUAGGGGUUCUGAGAGGAAGGUCCCCCCANAUUGGAACUGAGACACGGUCCAAACUCCGUACGGGAGGCA